rnacentral:rRNA from 1 species
GUUGAUCCCGCCGGAAGCUACUGCUAUCGGGGUUCGAUUAAGCCAUGCGAGUCGAGAGGGUUCAGACCCUCGGCGGACUGCUCAGUAACACGUGGAUAAUCUGCCCUAUGGUGGAGGAUAACCCCGGGAAACUGGGGAUAAUACUCCAUAAGUCAGGAGUACUGGAAUGUCUCCUAACUGAAAGUUGCGGCGCCAUAGGAUGAAUCUGCGGCCGAUUAGGUAGUUGUUGGGGUAACGGCCCAACAAGCCCGUAAUCGGUACGGGUUGUGGGAGCAAGAGCCCGGAGAUGGAAUCUGAGACACGAUUCCAGGCCCUACGGGGCGCAGCAGGCGCGAAAACUUUACAAUGCAGGAAACUGUGAUAAGGGAACCCCGAGUGCCCGUACACGCGGGCUGUCCCGGUGUUUAAAACACAUCGGAAGAAAGGGCCGGGCAAGACCGGUGCCAGCCGCCGCGGUAAUACCGGCGGCUCGAGUGGUGACCACUUUUAUUGGGCUUAAAGCGUUCGUAGCUUGAUUUUUAAGUCUCUUGGGAAAUCUCACGGCUUAACUGUGAGGCGUCUAAGAGAUACUGGGAAUCUAGGGACCGGGAGAGGUAAGAGGUACUUCAGGGGUAGAAGUGAAAUUCUGUAAUCCUUGAGGGACCACCGAUGGCGAAGGCAUCUUACCAGAACGGCUUCGACAGUGAGGAACGAAAGCUGGGGGAGCGAACGGGAUUAGAUACCCCGGUAGUCCCAGCCGUAAACUAUGCGCGUUAGGUGUGCCUGUAACUACGAGUUACCGGGGUGCCGAAGUGAAAACGUGAAACGUGCCGCCUGGGAAGUACGGUCGCAAGGCUGAAACUUAAAGGAAUUGGCGGGGGAGCACCACAACGGGUGGAGCCUGCGGUUUAAUUGGACUCAACGCCGGGCAGCUCACCGGAUAGGACAGCGGAAUGAUAGCCGGGCUGAAGACCUUGCUUGACCAGCUGAGAGGAGGUGCAUGGCCGUCGUCAGUUCGUACUGUGAAGCAUCCUGUUUAGUCAGGCAACGAGCGAGACCCU